rnacentral:lncRNA from 7 species
CUGCAUUAAAUGCGUGAUUUUCAGGUGACGUGGGAGAUUUUUGAAGAGAAAAUGCGUGCUUUUCGGGAUAAAUCAGGGAUUCUGGAGGAGAAAAUGCAUCAUUUUCGGGUUAAAUGGGGGAGUUUGGAAGAGAAAUAGCCUUUUCUUCUGGUUAAAUGGGGGGAUUUUUGAAGAGAACAUGCAUGAUUUUCGUUUACAUGUGAGAUUUUUGUAGAGGAAAUGCGUGAUUUUUUGGAUACAUGGGGGAUUCUUGUAGCAAAAUGUUUGAUUUUGGGGUCGAAUGGGGGAUUUUUGAAGAGCAGAAGUGUGAUUUUCGAGUAAAGCGGGGGAAUUUUCCAAGAGCAAAUGUGUGAUUUUGGGGAUAAAUGGGGUAUUUUUGAAGAGAUGAAGCAUGAUUUUGGGGUAAAUGUGGGAUUUGGCAAGAGCAAACGCAUGAUUUUUGAGUUAAAUGGGGGAUUUUCUAAGAAGAAACUGGCAUGAUUUUGGGGGUAAAUGCGGGAUUUUCCAAGAGAAAAGGCAGAUUUUUGAGUGAAAUGGGGGAUUUUCCCAAGAGAUAAUGCGUGAUUUUGGGGUUAAAAGGGGAUUUCUGAGGAGGAAAUGUGUGAUUCUUGGGAUAAUGGGGUAUUUUUUGGAGAGAAAUGCGUGAUUUUGGGAAAUGUGUGAUUUUGCAAGAGAAAAGGCGAGAUUUUGAGUUAAAUGGGGGGAUUUUCUAAGAGAAAAUGCAUGAUUUGGGGGUUAAAUGGGGGAUUUCUGAGGAGGAAAAUGUGUGAUUCUUGGGAUAAAUGGGUAUUUUUUGGAGAGAAAAUGCAUGAUUUGGGGUUUAAAUGGGGGAUUUUCUAAGAGAAAAUGCAUGAUUUGGGGGUUAAAAGGGGAUUUCUGAGGAGAAAAUGUGUGAUUCUUGGGAUAAUGGGUAUUUUUGGAGAGAAAAUGCAUGAUUUGGGGGUAAAUGCGUAUUUUCCAAGAGAAAAGGCGAGAUUUUUGAGUGAAAUGGGGGAUAUUCCAAGAGAAAUUGCGUGAUUUGGGGGUUAAAUGGAGGAUUGUUGAAGAGACAAAGCAUGAUUUUGGGUGAAGGGGGGGAUUUUUGAAGAGAAAACACGUAAUUUUGGUUUAAACAGCUAUUUUUGAAGAGAAUAUGCGUGAUUUUCAGUUUAAAUCAGGGAUUGUCAAAGAGGGAAUGUGUGAUUUUUGUUUAAAUGGGGUAUUUUGGAAGGGAAGAUGCGUGAUUUUCGGGUUAAAUGGGGGAUUUUCGAAGAGGAAAUGCUUCGUUUCAGGUUGAACUGGGUGUUUUCGAAGCCAAAGUGCGUGAUUUUCACUUAUUUGGGGGAUUUUCCAAACGA